AAUGUCGGCAGUGAAAGCAGAAGUUUCAAAAUGUCUUACCUCCUGCUUCUUCUCAUCGUCUCUCUACAAUGUACUGGGUGUCUUUGCAAUUCUAAUGGUUAUGUCCCGACAUGGGCAAUAGUAUGUCUGGCACUUGUGGGUACGGUAAUAAUCUUGAUGUUCUUUGCUUUUGCUCUUGUGAUUGCUUUGCGAAGAAGAAAAUAAAAAUAAAGGAGGAUAAGGAACAUCAAGAAUAUUCUACAGAGAUGGAAUCUUGAUUCCCUUGGGGCUGUCGACACAUUCAAAUCGAAAGUUCAAGAUCAUGAAGGAUAUUUUACACUAAAUUUUUCCUUUGUAUCUGGCAAAGUUCUCUGUGGAUUUACUGCUUGUCUCUCAUAAAACAUCUGCUUAGGGCACCUGCUAAGAGAAAAAUAUAGAUGUGAUGUACAGUACAGACCAAAAGUUUGGACAGACCUUCUCAUUCAAAGAGUU